rnacentral:rRNA from 1 species
AGGACGAACGCUGGCGGCGUGCUUAACACAUGCAAGUCGAGCGGAAAGGCCCUUCGGGGUACUCGAGCGGCGAACGGGUGAGUAACACGUGAGUAAUCUGCCCAUCGCUUCAGGAUAGCCAUCGGAAACGGUGAUUAAUACUGGAUAUGACAUUCCUUCGCAUGUUGGGGUGUGGAAAGUUUUUUCGGCGGUGGAUGUGCUCGCGGCCUAUCAGCUUGUUGGUGGGGUAAUGGCCUACCAAGGCUUUGACGGGUAGCCGGCCUGAGAGGGUGACCGGCCACACUGGGACUGAGACACGGCCCAGACUCCUACGGGAGGCAGCAGUGGGGAAUAUUGGACAAUGGGCGAAGCCUGAUCCAGCAACGCGCGUGAGGAUGACGGCCUUCGGGUUGUAAACCGUCUUUCAGCACAGACGAAGUUUUGCUUUUUGGUGUAAGUGACGGUAUGUGCUAGAAGAAGGACCGGCCAACGUACGUGCCAGCAGCCGAC